GCUGGAAUGGUCUAGUUGGUUAUGACGACUGCCUAACACGCAGUAUGUCCCGAGUUCGAUUCUCGGUUCCAGUA
rnacentral:tRNA from 1 species